CUCAGACUCUCACUGCCUCUUGUUCCUUCUUCCUGGCCACCAGGCAGGGACAGAAGUUUAUAUGCCCAGAGAGGAACUCAGGGAAGAACUGCAGGAGCAGUGUUACUGCCGGAGAGCACAGCUCAGGCAUCACCCACUGCUCAGGAAGCCUCCUAUCAAACUGGCAGCAGAUAUCCUCUCUAGACUCAUUUCCUGAAGAAAUUAGCUUGGACAUUUACACUGUCACUAACUUUUGGAUCUCUCACACCCAAAUGAGUAAUGUUAAAAGGGGUCAAUAUUCCAGCACCACUGGCACCUAGGUGAAGGAAAGAAACCUGAAUUAGCAUCCAGUCACACAAACCCCACGGAAGCCAGGCCACUCGCUGGGCAGCUCACAGAACAGCUCCUCCUUACGAACUCAGCAACUAUUAUCUUUUCUGACAUAACAGCACCUUGCGUGGAUAAAGCGGUCUGGUAACGCCAGGUCACCCAGGUCACUACAGCAGAAUCACGCUGCUUGCGUGAAAGCAUGCUGCAAACCCGUGCAAUGCACACAUGAGAAAACGUGAAAGCAGUGUUCCUCUAGCCAAAGCCUCACUGCUUCGAGUCAGUCCAGAAACCUUAAAGCAUCUCUGCAUGAAGGUCUACUUUAAAGAAACGGACGUCACUCUCUUCAAACAACCUUUGUUUAGCACAACAAAGACCAGCGAUCCCUAAGUGACACCAUGCUACAAAAAAUGAAAUGCUACACACAAAAUGCAUAUAUUGUAGUUUUAUAAGCUGAUACAUACUGUCCCUUUGAAAUCUCCUAUGUCAGCGAUAUUGCAAUAGCUUUCAUGUAACUGCAAAACUAAAUACACAUAUUACAAAACU